rnacentral:rRNA from 1 species
CCUACGGGGGGCAGCAGUGGGGAAUUUUGCGCAAUGGGGGAAACCCUGACGCAGCAACGCCGCGUGGAGGAUGAAGUCCCUUGGGAUGUAAACUCCUUUCGAUCGGGACGAUUAUGACGGUACCGGAAGAAGAAGCCCCGGCUAACUUCGUGCCAGCAGCCGCGGUAAUACGAGGGGGGCGAGCGUUGUUCGGAAUUAUUGGGCGUAAAGGGCGCGUAGGCGGUUUGAUAAGUCUGAUGUGAAAUCUAUGGGCUCAACCCAUAGCCUGCAUCGGAAACUGUCGGGCUUGAGUAUGGGAGAGGUGAGUGGAAUUUCCGGUGUAGCGGUGAAAUGCGUAGAUAUCGGAAGGAACACCUGUGGCGAAAGCGGCUCACUGGACCAUAACUGACGCUGAGGCGCGAAAGCUAGGGGAGCAAACAGGAUUAGAUACCCUUGUAGUC